ensembl:snoRNA
AAGACUAUACUUUCAGGGAUCAUUUCUAUAGUUUGUAACUGGUGAAAUGUGCUCGAAAGUGUCAAACUCAGUAACCGCGAUGAGGAGCUGCAGUGUUUCUCUCUUGAGCGUAAAGUUGACUCUCAGUGCUGUCCAGUGUAGCUGCUGGAGUCUUUGAUGACCGUUCUGCUCCUCUUCACUGAGGUGCUGGAGGGGGAGAACACAAGCUGAGCGGUU